CUUUUUAGGGCCACACUAGUUCCCAGGCUAGGGGUUGGAGCCACAGCCACAGCAACGUCAGAUCCGAGCCACCUCUGUGACCAACACCCCAGCUCAUGGCAAUGCCGGAUAUUUAACCCACUGAUCGAGGCCAGGGAUUGGACCCAAAUCUUCAUGGAUACUAGUUGGGCUUGUUUCCACUGAGCCACAAUGGGAACUCCUACUUGGCAAUCAUUAUAUCAUAAUAAAGCAAAAUUAAAAUAUAGAUCAUAGAACACCUCUUUCCCACAUAAAUCAAAGAUUCACAAAGUUCCUUCCAACCUUUAUCUGUGCACAGACAUGAGUUUUACGUGGUUGUGUUUGUAUGUGCACCUGAUUUCCCAAUUUUUUGCUUGAAUUCUUCAUACAUCUACUCAGGCCAUACAUCUGUUAUUUUAAAUGGAGAAGUAUUCCAUUGUAUUGCCAAAGGGGUUUAAUUAAGCCAUCUUUCAGCUAGUUGUUUCCACACGUUAUAAUUCAGUCAAGCAUUUUGAAGUAAAUAAAUUCUGUUUUUCCUUUUUGAGCUCUUUCCUUGGGCUGUAAUGUGAAAAGUGGAUUACCAGUUUAAAGACCAUCAUUAGCUGGGUGACUUUUAUUACUAGUUGCCAGGGGCUCUCCACAAGAGGCAUUACCGAUUAGCAAUGUCACCGGAGAAAUAGGAGUCUAGCUUUUUCUUCAUAGUCUCCUUAACACUGCACCUUCUGGGUUUUAUUUAUUUUGCGGUGAUUUCAAAAGAAUGAUGUAAAGUCUUUUAGUUCUUUAAAUCAGUCGUAUGUUUGUUUAAUACUCUUACUGCCUCUUCUUAAAAAUAGGUAUUGAUCACCUACUAUAUGCCAGGUGUUUUAUGUGGCUUAUAACUCACUGAAUACGUCUGACUGUCUCAUGACGUAGACACUAUAAAAUUUAUUUUUCAGUAAAGAAACUGGAGUUCCCAUUGCAGCUCAGCGGGUUAAGAACCCAACAUGGUGUCUGUGAGGACAUGGGCUCAAUCCCUGGCCUCGCUCAGUGGGCUAAGGAUCCGGUGUUGCUGUGACUGUGACAUAGGCCUCAGCUGCAGCUCUGAUUCAGCCCCCAACCUGGGAACUUCCAUGUGCCACAGAUGUGGCUGAUUCAAAUUUGCCGUCUACCUCUGGGAGUCCUGCAUUUCACCAUCCUGCCUCAUAACAAUAACCUUUAAACAUCUUACCAAUUUUUCUUUUCUUUUCUUUUUAGGUUUAUUUGCCCAGUUUAUUGAGGUAUAAAAUACACAAAGUGAUUGAGGUGCCCUCAUCUUAAAGGUACAGCAGAUGCAUUCUGACAUCCAUAUACACAAUGCAACCACCACACAGAUCAGACACAGAAAUUUUUUUUUUUGGCUUUUUAGGGCUGCACUUGUGGCAUGUGGGAGUUCCCUGGCUAGGGGAUGAAUCAGAGUUGCAGUUGCCAGCCACAGCCGCACCAGAUCCAAGCCUCAUCUGCAAUCUACACCACAGUUCACAACAAUGCUGGAUCCUUAAGCAAGGCCAAGGAUUGAACCCAAACCCUCGUGGAUACUGGUGGGGGUCGUUACUGCUGAGUCACAACAGGAACUUCCUAGACACACUUCCUAGAAUCUUUUAUCAGCUUAGAUCUUUUCUCUACUUUUUAAACACAGAUCGUUUUGUGCUUCUCAUUCUACAUAGGGUCUGGUACUGAAGCUAUGCAAAUAGGAAACUCUGUUUAAUCACAGGAGGUUGAAAACUAAAAGGGACCUCAGAGACUAUGUCUCAAUCUCUUAAAGUAAAGCCAGAAGGAAAGUGGCUUCUCCAGGAUCUGAUAAUUCAGAGCUCUUUCUGCCCCUUCAUGCUGCCUGCCCAGGCCUGGCUGGUUGCUUGCCAGGCCUUACACAGCAGACAUGCAACAGGCAGGUUGCACAGCAGAGAAAGGGACCUAGAUAAAGAGGGUUUUUGUUGUUGUUGUUGAUGUUAUCUUUAUUUUAAGUGAGUCUUGAAGUAACCAAAGGGUCAAAAUACAGUAAGCUGACUGUUUUUACAUAAAAGUAUCAACACUUGAAAUCAAAUGAGUUUGCCUGUCAGAGGAGCCUAUUUGGGAGGGUAGACACUUAUCCCAAUAAUGCUCCAUUGCUCAUGACGCCUUUUAAACACCCUCUUUUCUAAGAACUUUCAGAGCUAACUUGAAUCAAACAGACCAAUUUUGUUGUAUAAAGUACAAAAUUAGUAACAACAGAGUAAAAACUGGAUGGGUUCCUUUCAAAUCAUAAGGAAGAAAACAAAAAUAUGAUCCAUAUAACAAAAGCACAGAGAACAAGAAGCAUAUUCAGUAAAAAUAAAUUUAACUGACAAAAGAUCAAACUUAUCAAAUAUGACAAUAAAUGUGAAUGUGUUAAAUAGACCCCGAAAAAGACAAAGAUUCUCAACAUCCAAUUAUAUGCUGUUUAUGAGGAAGGCCUAAAACCAAAUGACUCUGAAGUCUAACAUAAAAAGAGGGGCAAAAUGUGUCUAGAAAACACAAAUGGAAAGAAGGUUUAGAUGGAAAUAUUUACACUAAACAAAGAAGAAUUUGAGGCAAAAGAACAUUUAACAAGACAGAGUAUGUGAAAAUUUUCAAUUGCACCAGUAAUUAAAUUUUCACUUUUAAGAAGCAGUUUAGUUUAUCAAACUGGUAAAUAUAUUUAAUUAUAACUAUUUUAUCAUUAAAAGAGUACAGGCAAAUGGACACAUCCUUAGCUACUAUUAAGAAGACAAAAGAUA
rnacentral:lncRNA from 1 species